rnacentral:rRNA from 1 species
UUUGAUGGCGACCGGCGCACGGGUGAGUAACACGUAUCCAACCUGCCGAUGACUCGGGGAUAGCCUUUCGAAAGAAAGAUUAAUACCCGAUGGCAUAGUUCUUCCGCAUGGUAGAACUAUUAAAGAAUUUCGGUCAUCGAUGGGGAUGCGUUCCAUUAGGUUGUUGGCGGGGUAACGGCCCACCAAGCCUUCGAUGGAUAGGGGUUCUGAGAGGAAGGCCCCCCACAUUGGAACUGAGACACGGUCCAA